rnacentral:rRNA from 1 species
AGAAAAAAAUAAUUAAAAAAAUAAGCCCUAUCAACUUUAGAUUGUAGAGUAUUUGGCCUACAAUGGUUUUCAACGGAUAACGGGGAAAUAAGGAUUAGAUUCCGGGAGAGGAAGCCUGAGAAACGGUACCACAUCCAAGGAAAGCAGCAGGCGCGCAAAUUACCCAAUCCCGACGCGGGGAGGUAGUGACAAUAAAUACUGAUACAGGGCUCUUUAGGGUCUUGUAAUUGGAAUGAGUACAAUUUAAACCCCUUAACGAGGAACAAUUGGAGGGCAAGUCUGGUGCCAGCAGCCGCGGUAAUUCCAGCUCCAAUAGCGUAUAUUAAAGUUGUUGCAGUUAAAAAGCUCGUAGUUGAACCUUGGGCCUGGCUGGCCGGUCCGCCUCACCGCGUGCACUGGUCCGGCCGGGCCUUUCCUUCUGGAGAGCCGCAUGCCCUUCACUGGGCGUGUCGGGGAACCAGGACUUUUACUUUGAAAAAAUUAGAGUGUUCAAAGCAGGCCUUUGCUCGAAUACGUUAGCAUGGAAUAAUAGAAUAGGACGUGCGGUCCUAUUUUGUUGGUUUCUAGGACCGCCGUAAUGAUUAAUAGGGAUAGUCGGGGGCAUCAGUAUUCAAUUGUCAGAGGUGAAAUUCUUGGAUUUAUUGAAGACUAACUACUGCGAAAGCAUUUGCCAAGGAUGUUUUCAUUAAUCAGUGAACGAAAGUUAGGGGAUCGAAGACGAUCAGAUACCGUCGUAGUCUUAACCGUAAACUAUGCCGACUAGGG